rnacentral:rRNA from 1 species
UACAGAGGUCCCAAGCGUUGUUCGGAUUCACUGGGCGUAAAGGGUGCGUAGGCGGUCGGGUAAGUCUGAUGUGAAAUCUCACAGCUUAACUGUGAAACUGCAUUGGAUACUAUCCGGCUAGAGGAAUGGAGGGGAGACUGGAAUACUUGGUGUAGCAGUGAAAUGCGUAGAUAUCAAGUGGAACACCAGUGGCGAAGGCGAGUCUCUGGACAUUUCCUGACGCUGAGGCACGAAAGCCAGGGGAGCGAACGGA